rnacentral:piRNA from 1 species
UAAAGGAUUGUGGAGACCAUGUUUUGUUGU